UUGACACUCCACAGCAGGAAAUGCACAGGUGUAACUAAUUAUAUUAAUUAUGGCUCAGUUCCAUU